rnacentral:rRNA from 1 species
CACGGAGUUAGCCGGUGCUUCUUCCGCGAGUAACGUCAAUUGAUGAACGUAUUAAGCUCACCACCUUCCUCCUCGCUGAAAGUGCUUUACAACCCGAAGGCCUUCUUCACACACGCGGCAUGGCUGCAUCAGGCUUGCGCCCAUUGUGCAAUAUUCCCCA